rnacentral:misc_RNA from 1 species
GAGGGGGAAAAAACUAGGCUCCCAGGCCUUCUAAAUCCUAAACUCAUAAUUCCAUUAAUUAAAGCCUAACAAAACAAGUAGGUUAUAUGGAUACUUAAUCACUUACAGAAUUGCUUUCAUUCUUUGACAAGGACUGCAGCUUCUAGAUAACAAAAUGUCUAAUGAUCACUAAAUUGGGAACAACCUACCUUCUAGAUCCUAAAAUUUUAAGGAAUACUAAAAUCCUAAAUUUACUGAAUAGAAGAUCCUAACUAGAGAGUUACAUAAUUUACUUAAGUAGAAAAUUUUUGCAAGGAAAAUCUGAAUUUUUAUAAUUAAGAAUUAAACCAAAAUAAAGCCUAUAUUUAUUUUUCCUUAACUGCAUGAAUUUGUUGACUAGAGAUUGCAAAAAUAUACUUGUUGUUCUC